UCUCCAGACUCCUACGGGAGGCAGCAGUGAGGAAUAUUGGUCAAUGGGCGCGAGCCUGAACCAGCCAAGUAGCGUGAAGGAUGACUGCCCUACGGGUUGUAAACUUCUUUUAUAAAGGAAUAAAGUGAGGCACGUGUGCCUUUUUGUAUGUACUUUAUGAAUAAGGAUCGGCUAACUCCGUGCCAGCAGCCGCGGUAAUACGGAGGAUCCGAGCGUUAUCCGGAUUUAUUGGGUUUAAAGGGAGCGUAGAUGGGUUGUUAAGUCAGUUGUGAAAGUUUGCGGCUCAACCGUAAAAUUGCAAUUGAUACUGGCAGCCUUGAGUACAGUUGAGGUAGGCGGAAUUCGUGGUGUAGCGGUGAAAUGCAUAGAUAUCGCGCAGAACCCCGAUUGCGAAGGCAGCGUGCCGUGCCGCCACUGACGCUGAGGCACGAAAGCGCGGGGAUCGAACAGGAUUAGAUACCCGGGUAU
rnacentral:rRNA from 1 species